ensembl:misc_RNA
AUGAGCAUUGCCAGACAGUAGUGCUCUAUGCACAGCAAGGGUGGAGCAGAGAUAGCAGUGGUGCACGCUUUCCACACUGCCCUGUUAGUGUGGUCCAACCUGACCUGGAAGAACCACUCCAGGGAGAAGGGGAUAGUUCAGUCUCCAUGUCCACUCACUACAUGACUUCU